rnacentral:lncRNA from 1 species
AUGCGUGGGCACAUGUGUGUGCACGCGUGGCUGGGAUACUACCGUGGCUCCCUGUGUCCCUGUGUGUGCCCCUGGGCACCACUGUGUGCUCGUCUGGAAGUAUGCUCCGAGGCCAUACACCUGUGUGUCCAGGUAGGCUCUGUGUGCACUUGUGUGUGCAUGCCUGGGUGUGUAUGCACACACGUGGACCUCACUGUGACGCACUCACCAGAAAGCUCCACCAAGGAACAACGCAGAGGCUUCACUCUGGAUGACAAACGAGGAGGGGAGAGGCCUGCCCUGCCUGGACUCCGGAUGCUACGAUGCCACCCAGGACCCCCGAGUCCUCCAGGAAGAAGCCAAGGCCCUCAAACAUUUGGCGCCUGCCUUUGGCCCAGGGCGUGAUCCUGGAGACCCGGGAUCGAGUCCCACGUCGGGCUCACAGUGCAUGGAGCCUGCUUCUCCCUCUGCCUGUGUCUCUGCCUCUCUCUCUAUCUCUCUGUGACUAUCAUAAAUAAAAAAAUAAAAUAAAUUAAAAAAAAACA